rnacentral:lncRNA from 1 species
GAGUAUGAGGCAAGGAGGAACACAUGUUGUAUUAUCCUUGUUAGCAUCAGACCACAAACAAAGAAUAGUACAUGGAAACAGGUUGGCCAUGUAAUAAGCAUGAGCAAUGGGCAUGGUACUUGUGAUCGUCAAAGAGCAAAUCGUUGAGCUGUACUAAGUCAUUAGGCGUGAAGUGAAUGAUGCACAAACACUUUGAACGCGUGCCUCAUCAAACUUAAUAAUGUCCAUGCAAAGGCC